rnacentral:tRNA from 4 species
UCGGGAUAGCUCAGUUGGUAGAGCAGAGGACUGAAAAUCCUCG